ACCCUCGCUGCUGUGCUACCACGAGGGGAAGGGCAGCCAGAGGAGGAACCACGAGAGGGAGAGGAGUCAGAGUGAUACGGUAGGCAAUAGAGGUACAAACCGACCUCUUGUUGGAUUUACACUGUUUUGGAUUUACGCGAUGACCUCUUCAAGGACACAAUACUCCCGUGAAUCCAGAGUUACAUGCAUCAGGACGCCUAUCCUCCCGAAAUAGCUUUAUCUCUUUGGACACUCAACUCUAUUCAGGAGCAGUAAGUAGCGGGCUUUUUUUUUCAUUAGUGGAAUGGAUGAGCUCUUAACCCAGUAGCUGCAGGGGUCAUGUUUCUUAGGUUAGGUUAGGUUAGGUUAGGUUAAAGGUCAGGUUAGGUUAGGUUAGGUUAAAGGUUAGGUUAGGUUAGGUUAGGUUAGGUUAAAGGUCAGGUUAGGUUAGGUUAGGUUAGGUUAAAGGUCAGGUUAGGUUAGGUUAGGUUAGGUUAAAGGUCAGGUUAGGUUAGGUUAGGUUAGGUUAAAGGUCAGGUUAGGUUAGGUUAGGUUAAAGGUCAGGUUAGGUUAGGUUAGGUUAGGUUAAAGGUCAGGUUAGGUUAGGUUAGGUUAGGUUAGGUUAAAGGUCAGGUUAGGUUAGGUUAGGUUAGGUUAAAGGUCAGGUUAGGUUAGGUUAGGUUAGGUUAAAGGUCAGGUCAGGUUAGGUUAGGUUAGGUUAAAGGUCAGGUUAGGUUAGGAUAGGUUAGGUUAGGUUAGGUUAAAGGUCAGGUUAGGUUAGGUUAGGUUAAAGGCCCCUCUAAGCAAAAUACUGAGAAUCAUCACUCACGCAAACCAUUUCAUAAUAUAUAUCAACGCAUGUGUGAUCAGAUUAUGUAUCAUCUAUUUUGGGGGGGUUAUAUCAAGACAGAAAUUUGGCCCGUUGCUGCUACACGGUAAAGCCACAAAUUCGGCCCAUCGCUGCUACACGGUAAAGCCACAAAUUUGGCCCAUCACUGCUACACGGUAAAGCCACAAAUUUGGCCCAUCACUGCUACACGGUAAAGCCACAAAUUUGGCCCGUCACUGCUACACGGUAAAGCCACAAAUUUGGCCCAUCGCUGCUACACGGUAAAGCCACAAAUUUGGCCCAUCACUGCUACACGGUAAAGCCACAAAUUUGGCCCAUCGCUGCUACACGGUAAAGACACAAAUUUGCCCCAUCGCUGCUACACGGUAAAGCCACAAAUUUGGCCCGUCGCUGCUACACGGUAAAGCCACAAAUUUGGCCCAUCGCUGCUACACGGUAAAGCCACAAAUUUGGCCCAUCGCUGCUACACGGUAAAGCCACAAAUUUGGCCCAUCGCUGCUACACGGUAAAGCCACAAAUUUGGCCCAUUGCUGCUACACGGUUAAUUCAUGUGUUUCAGUGGUGAGCAAUUGACAUUUCCACUAUUAACAGCAUCUUACAGGCGCCAACCACACAUUACUGGUGAGAUCCUGUUUUUUUUUUAUAUAUAGCAAAUGAUACAGCUCAAGGGCACAAGAAAAGUAAACAAUAAUUAAAAAAAAGCCCGCUACUCGCUGCUCCUAAAAAGAAUCCAAAGAGGUGGCCGAAAGAGAGGUCAGUUUCGGGAGGAGAGGCGUCCUGAUACCCUCCCCUUGAAAGAGUUCAAGUCGUAGGCAGGAGGAAAUACAGAUGAAGGACAAUAAUAAUAGCAAUACACUAGUAGCAAGGCACAGCCAAUGCUCUCGCUACACAUGGGUCAAAACUCUAUAGAAGGGAUUGCUAGGGACUGCAUGAGGAGACAAGUAGUCACUAAUG